rnacentral:rRNA from 1 species
GUAGGGAAUAUUGGGCAAUGGGCGAAAGCCUGACCCAGCAACGCCGCGUGCACGAUGAAGGCCUUCGGGUUGUAAAGUGCUUUUUGGGGAGAUGAGGAAGGACAGUAUCCUCAGAAUAAGGAUCGGCUAACUACGUGCCAGCAGCCGCGGUAACACGUAGGAUUCUAGCGUUAUCCGAAUUUACUGGGCGUAAAGCGCGUGCAGGUGGUUUGGUAAGUUGAGUGUGAAAGCUCCUGGCUCAACUGGGAGAGGACGUUCAAAACUACCAGACUAGAGGACAGUAGAGGAAGAUGGAAUUCCCGGUGUAGUAGUGAAAUGCGUAGAUAUCGGGAGGAACACCAGUGGCGAAGGCGGUCUUCUGGACUGUUUCUGACACUCAGACGCGAAAGCUAGGGUAGCGAACGGGAUUAGAAACCCGGGUAGUCC